CAACCUGCCCAAAAGAGGGGGAUAACACUUGGAAACAGGUGCUAAUACCGCAUAACCAUAGUUACCGCAUGGUAACUAUGUAAAAGGUGGCUAUGCUACCGCUUUUGGAUGGGCCCGCGGCGCAUUAGCUAGUUGGUGGGGUAAAGGCUUACCAAGGCAAUGAUGCGUAGCCGAACUGAGAGGUUGAUCGGCCACAUUGGGACUGAGACACGGCCCAAACUCCUACGGGAGGCAGCAGUAGGGAAUCUUCCACAAUGGGCGAAAGCCUGAUGGAGCAACGCCGCGUGGGUGAAGAAGGUCUUCGGAUCGUAAAACCCUGUUGUUAGAGAAGAAAGUGCGUGAGAGUAACUGUUCACGUUUCGACGGUAUCUAACCAGAAAGCCACGGCUAACUACGUGCCAGCAGCCGCGGUAAUACGUAGGUGGCAAGCGUUAUCCGGAUUUAUUGGGCGUAAAGGGAACGCAGGCGGUCUUUUAAGUCUGAUGUGAAAGCCUUCGGCUUAACCGGAGUAGUGCAUUGGAAACUGGGAGACUUGAGUGCAGAAGAGGAGAGUGGAACUCCAUGUGUAGCGGUGAAAUGCGUAGAUAUAUGGAAGAACACCAGUGGCGAAAGCGGCUCUCUGGUCUGUAACUGACGCUGAGGUUCGAAAGCGUGGGUAGCAAACAGGAUUAGAUACCCUGGUAGUCCACGCCGUAAACGAUGAAUGCUA
rnacentral:rRNA from 1 species